AGGAACUAAUAGGCCUGAUAAAGCAUACUAAAAUUCCCAUCAUUUGUAUGUGCAAUGACAGAAAUCACCCCAAAAUUCGCUCUUUGGUUCAUUAUUGUUUUGAUCUUCGUUUCCAAAGACCUCGGGUUGAACAGAUUAAGAGUGCAAUGCUGUCUAUUGCAUUUAAAGAGGGUUUAAAGAUCCCUCCUCCAGCUAUGAAUGAAAUAAUUUUGGGAGCUAAUCAAGAUGUCAGACAGGUUUUACAUAAUAUGAGCAUGUGGUGUGCACAGAGCAAGGCACUGACUUACGACCAAGCCAAGGCUGACUCUCAGAGGGCCAAGAAGGACAUCAAACUGG